AUUGAACGCUGGCGGCAGGCCUAACACAUGCAAGUCGAGCGGAUGACGGGAGCUUGCUCCUUGAUUCAGCGGCGGACGGGUGAGUAAUGCCUAGGAAUCUGCCUGGUAGUGGGGGACAACGUUUCGAAAGGAACGCUAAUACCGCAUACGUCCUACGGGAGAAAGCAGGGGACCUUCGGGCCUUGCGCUAUCAGAUGAGCCUAGGUCGGAUUAGCUAGUUGGUGAGGUAAUGGCUCACCAAGGCGACGAUCCGUAACCGGUCUGAGAGGAUGAUCAGUCACACUGGAACUGAGACACGGUCCAGACUCCUACGGGAGGCAGCAGUGGGGAAUAUUGGACAAUGGGCGAAAGCCUGAUCCAGCCAUGCCGCGUGUGUGAAGAAGGUCUUCGGAUUGUAAAGCACUUUAAGUUGGGAGGAAGGGCAGUAAGUUAAUACCUUGCUGUUUUGACGUUACCGACAGAAUAAGCACCGGCUAACUCUGUGCCAGCCGCCGCUGUAAUAC
rnacentral:rRNA from 1 species